GCUCCAGUGGCGCAAUUGGUUAGCGCACGGUACUUAUAGACAGUAUUCUUGUGUGUGAGAGCUAUGCCGGGGUUGUGAGUUCGAGCCUCACCUGGAGCA
rfam:Lutzomyia longipalpis Contig32052, whole genome shotgun sequence.